AAUAAAGUGACCGAAAUAAAGGUGUUAGUCUCUUAAAUUAAUUAUGAGAAAUGU
rnacentral:tRNA from 1 species